ACGAUCUGGAUACUCUUCU
rnacentral:snRNA from 1 species